UACGAAGGGGGCUAGCGUUGCUCGGAAUCACUGGGCGUAAAGGGCGCGUAGGCGGCACUGUUAGUCAGGCGUGAAAGUCCUGGGCUCAACCUGGGAACUGCGCUUGAUACGGCAGAGCUAGAGGAUGGAAGAGGCUCGCGGAAUUCCCAGUGUAGAGGUGAAAUUCGUAGAUAUUGGGAAGAACACCGGUGGCGAAGGCGGCGAGCUGGUCCAUUACUGACGCUGAGGCGCGACAGCGUGGGGAGCAACAGG
rnacentral:rRNA from 1 species